rnacentral:rRNA from 1 species
UACAGAGGUCCCGAGCGUUGUUCGGAUUCAUUGGGCGUAAAGGGUGCGUAGGCGGCGGGGCAAGUCUGAUGUGAAAUCCUGGGGCUCAACCCCAGAACUGCAUUGGAUACUGCUUUGCUAGAGUACUGGAGAGGGAACUGGAAUUUACGGUGUAGCAGUGAAAUGCGUAGAUAUCGUAAGGAAGACCAGUGGCGAAGGCGGGUCUCUGGACAGUUCCUGACGCUGAGGCACGAAGGCCAGGGGAGCAAACGGG